UUUUAUGACCCGGCUCUGGAUUUAACCCGAAACGAAAUUGGAGUACGCGCGCGAGCGGGAGAUAUAACGGAAGGCCCAACUAAAAGCCCAUAUUCACAAAGUUAACUCCUCCCCUCUCUCUAUAAAUACCUGAAUCUUUAAAAAAAUACAAACAAACUUUUCGAUCGAGAAACAGAGAGAGAGAGAGAACGUACGUGGAUCGAGAAACAGAGAGAGAGAGAGAAGGUACGUGAAUCACGAACGCGACUCGUCGUCUCUCCACUCACCUCUGAGGCUCUGAACAUGGAAGACAUUGGUAACUUUGUGAGCAUCAUCUGCAUCAACGAGGCAAGAAUCGAAGGCAUUCUUGACAAGAACGAUCUUACGAACGGGAUAAUUGUUGUGAAAAAACGGUAAAAUCUUCACAUGUUUGCUGUUUAAUUAUGGUUUAUUCAUUCUAUUAUCUCAUAUUGAAUCUCUUCUUCCUUCUUCCUUGUCCAGCAAUGGAUUUUGGGACUGAAGGAAGAAAGGCACGAGGUCCUCAAAUCCCACCAGCACUCAACAUCCAGGGAUCUCUAACGAUAAGAUCACGACAGAUCAAGGAAAUGGAGAUCAUUUGUCUUACACCUCAGGAGAGAGACUUCCCGUCUCUUUCUCGGCGCAGGAUUGGAGCAAGGAACAACGUGGGCCCUUCCUACUCUGAGGUCGCCAAGAAGAAGAAGAAUUAGGGUUUUUUUGGUCUAAAUCUAGGUUUGGGAUUUUGAUCAUGUUUAUGUGUUAGAUGCAUGCUUGACUGUUUUAGUUGGGGUUUUUAAGAUUUGUUUGAAGAUGGAGAUACUGAAUGCAUUGUAUUAUUUGAUAAAAGAUGCCACGUUAACUGCUCAAAUAAAAAAGAAAGAUUUAGGGUAACUCAAAUGAUAUGUAGCGCAUGAGUUUAUAAUCUAUGAUAUGCGUUAAUGUUU